CUUUGUGGUUUUCUUCUUAAAUAUUUUAUUAUAUUUUAAUUUAAGUGUGUGUGUGUGUGUACGUGCGUGUGCGUGUACGUGCGUGUGCGUGUGUACUCUCAUGUCACAUGUGGGUCCUGGAGACUGGACUCGGGCUGUCAGCCUUGGCAGCAGACAUGCCUGGUGAGCCCAUGCUUUCCUAUUUUGAUGAAGAGAGAAUGUAUAAAGUUCACACAGCUAGUGAGUAAAGGGACUUGAACCCCAGGAGUGUCGGGAGCCUGGGAGCCGUCCCCAUUCUGCGUCCACAUACCUUGGAGGAGGCUGGGGCCACAUGGAGCACACUUAUAUCCUUAGUGGCAGAACAGGUCUAGAAUCCUGGACCACUUCAGGUCCUCCUUCUAGAACACUGCCUCAGUUUGCCCCAUGAGCUCUGAGAGAGCAGGAGGAAGCAGGGCUUUAUGGGACGAAUGGUGCUGGAUGUCCUCAGGUCUGAAGGUAGAUAAGCUAAGUUGUUAAAACAGGAGGUCUGGGGUCUGAAGGUGCCUGACUCAAGAAUGGCCCCUUGUUUUGUUGUUUGCUUUUCUUUUUUUUUUUUUUCUUUCUUUUGAGACAGGCUGGCCUCAGACUCACUAGAUAGUUGAAGAUGACCUUAAACCUCUGGUUCUUCUGGCUCCCACCAGGUGUUGGGACCGCAGGUGUAUGUCAUCAUGUUUGUUGGUGCAGCGCUGGGGAUUGAGCUCACAGCUCCAUGCAUGCCAGGGAACUGGAAUGUGCUAUGUUUAGUGAUCCCUGACUACUGUGCUGACCCCAGUGUCCUUCACACCUCUCCCAUCACACCCUUUCUGUGGUGGCUGGGAAUGCUGGGUUCUGAAGACAUCCUGAAUAUUGAGCCAAGAAGCCUUGCUGUGACUGAAGGUAAGGACCAGAGAUCUAUGUCAAAACAGCACCAGGAUUUCUGGUCGGAGCUACUGGGAGGAUUGCUAGAACCUGAUGGAGAGGCUGUAGACAAAGCAGGAUUUUUGAUGUUGUUUUGUUUUUAAAGUUAGAUUUAUUUAUGUGUAUGAGUUUUGUUUUGUUUUUGCCAUCAUGCAUACAUACACACUAUGUGUAUUCCUGGUGCCUGAGGGUGUCAGAUGAGGGUGACAGAUCACCUGGAGCUGGAGUUACAGAUGUGAGCUGACUUGUGGG
rnacentral:lncRNA from 1 species